rnacentral:lncRNA from 1 species
UACUUUAUACUUUUCAAUAUAGUACUCUAUAUUUAGAGAACUGUUAUAUAUGUGUGAAUAUUGUAUGCAAGAUAUAAAAGAACAAGAUAUGUAGAAACAUGAGAAUAAGCAGUCUAAAGAUCUCCAGGGAAAUGGCAGGAACCCUGAGGCAGACCUCACCCCAUGUGUGUUGAAUGAAUAAAUGACUAGAUGGAUUCAGAGAAAUCAUACAUACCUUUAUUUUGGAGUAAGGAUUAAUGCAGAAGAAACUAACAUAAAAUACAACCUAUUAAAAACAUAAAAUUUUCAACCCAACACAGGACUUGAGUCCUAACACAGAGAAAUGGGCCGCAUGCUCCCAGAUCAGAUUUCUAUUUGCACUUACUCAUUCCUUCAUCCAUCCAUCCUUCCGUCCAUUCAUCUGUUCGUCCUUCGCUCCCUUCCUUCUACCCUUCUUCCUUCCCUUCCUCCCUCCCUUCCCAAGGCUGUAGAAUCGUGUCUUUAAUUCAUUCUUUUGGCAAUUAUUUUUUAGGUACUUAUUAUGAUUCUGUGCUUGGCAACGAUCCUACAGUUCUGCACAGGAGAGACUCAGUGGCUAUAACAGAGGUGGAAGAGGCGGGUCAUCAGCUGCUCACUUCUCUUCAGCCCUGGAAGCCAGAAGCUGGGGGCUGGAGAGAGGGAAGAUGCUCUCAACUGGAUGGAAACCAUUCAAAGUUUUGACAUGACAACUUACAGGAUUUUUUAAUUCAUUUCUUUCCAGCUCUGGGCACCAGUUAAUUUGAAUAAAUGAGACAAGUACAGUGGACAGGUGAAUAUCCAUCAUAUGUCCCAUGUCUCCCGAGGAACAAGGUGUCCACACCCUCCCGAGGGCCCUCCCACACGGCAGGUCCUUGCCCGAUGUGCUGUGCUGGUAUCUAACAGGUUCAGUUGAGGGCAGCCAAGACAGCGAAUUGCCCAACAAUUAAGGGUUUGGCCGGUCUGGGCUCCACGGCGCCUGAUUCCCUCGAAGUUUCUGUGACGGAUUAAGUGUUCACAGCUCCCCACUGCCAUUGCAGCCUCCCCUCCCUUCAAGCCUGCUGUUAAGCUGUCAGGGUAAACAAUGGCCCUGCCUCGGGCACAAGAAAAAAAGGUAAAAUAUUUCACACAUAAUUCCCAUAAAGGGUACCUGUGAAAAUAAUGUUGGAUCUAUUGAGACCAAUAAAAUAUAUUAUUAAAAUUAAUUUCACCCUUAUUUUUAAAGUUCUAAAGCUUGGAUUCUAGGAAAUGUAAGGUCGGGUAUAGGGCUCACACUGUAUUUCCUUUGGGCAGCGCUGCUCUGGAUUUUCCUGAAAGCACAGCCAACCCCAUUGCCUGGCCCCAAAGUCCUCUUGGAGUCUGGGAAGAGAGGUGCCCCGCAGGACUGCGUAUUCUGUGGGGCAGAGGAAAGUACCCUACAUCUGGCAGGCCGUGAAGAAGCACAGGGGGGUUACCCAUUCAUGGCUGCACAGUCUGCUUAGCCAGGCCUGCCCAGGUGAGAGCACAGAACCCAUAUCUUUGUAGCAAAGUUAUUGUGUGUGUGUGUAUGUGUGUGUGUGUACACCUGCAUCCAUAUUCCACGAGAAACUCAGCCGUUCAGUCUGUCUGACCCUCUUUGUGGAGAACCAAAAGGUUUGUGUUGUUUAUAGAGAGCCACACCCACAGCUCCUUGAAUUCCAUUCCUGAGUCCUUCUAGGAGGUGCAUUCAUUUUCUGAGGCUGCUAUUUGUAACAAAUUACCACAUAUUUGGUGGCUUAUAACAACGGAAAUUUAUUCUCUCAUAGUUCUGAGGCCAGAAGUCUGAGAUCAAAGUGGUGGCAGGGCUGUGCUCCCUCCCCAAGGGCCUAGGAAAGAAUUCCCUGGAGCUUCUUCUCAUCCCAGGAAUCUGGCAAUAAAGUGCCUCAAACCAAAAUCACUCUUAUAAGCAGAUAGAAUUGUGUGCACAUUUAUAGUGCAUAGAUUUUUUUCUGAACCACGGUGCUGUGAAUGAAGCCAGACCUCUGUCUCAGGCUGAUUGAGAGCUAUUUGUUGUUGUUUGGCUGGAGGCCUUCAUCCAGAAAGACUGCGCUCAAACCAGACCUUCAUUGUCCAAGCCCCCUGCUGUGUCUCUGAGGACAGGCUGCAGCCACCUGCCCAAGAAUGACCUGGAUGCUUGUAAACGUGUCCACUCCUCAACCUCUCCCCAAAUCAGAACCUCUGGAGAUUCCUUCCUCUGCCCCAAGAGCUGCAUUUCUACC